GGAUGUGAUGAUGAGAAAUUGUCGCCCCAGUCCUACUCGGACGCGUAAUGCGUUUGCUGAGGAUUGACUAUUUAUCAGUCUGAUUC
rfam:Physcomitrella patens subsp. patens PHYPAscaffold_47 genomic scaffold, whole genome shotgun sequence.